GGGUAUAGUUUAGUGGUAGAGCAUUUGACUGCAGAUCAAGAAGUACCCGAUUCAAAUCCAGGUGCCC
rnacentral:tRNA from 1 species